GAUGAACGCUGGCGGCGUGCUUAACACAUGCAAGUCGAACGAGUGGGGACGGGUGAGUAACACGUGGGUAACCUCCCCAUCAGAGGGGUAAACACUUGGAAACAGGUGCUAAACCGCUACUGAUGGAUGGACCCGCGGUGCAUUAGCUAGUUGGUGAGGUAACGGCUAACCAAGGCCACGAUGCAUAGCCGACCUGAGAGGUUGAUCGGCCACACGGGGACUGAGACACGGCCCAGACUCCUACGGGAGGCAGCAGUAGGGAAUCUUCGGCAAUGGACGAAAGUCUGACCGAGCAACGCCGCGUGAGUGAAGAAGGUUUUCGGAUCGUAAAACUCUGUUGUUAGAGAAGCGGUAUCUAACCAGAAAGCCACGGCUAACUACGUGCCAGCAGCCGCGGUAAUUC
rnacentral:rRNA from 1 species